GAACGCUGGCGGCAGGCCUAACACAUGCAAGUCGAGCGGUAGAGAGAAGCUUGCUUCUCUUGAGAGCGGCGGACGGGUGAGUAAUGCCUAGGAAUCUGCCUGGUAGUGGGGGAUAACGCUCGGAAACGGACGCUAAUACCGCAUACGUCCUACGGGAGAAAGCAGGGGACCUUCGGGCCUUGCGCUAUCAGAUGAGCCUAGGUCGGAUUAGCUAGUUGGUGAGGUAAUGGCUCACCAAGGCGACGAUCCGUAACUGGUCUGAGAGGAUGAUCAGUCACACUGGAACUGAGACACGGUCCAGACUCCUACGGGAGGCAGCAGUGGGGAAUAUUGGACAAUGGGCGAAAGCCUGAUCCAGCCAUGCCGCGUGUGUGAAGAAGGUCUUCGGAUUGUAAAGCACUUUAAGUUGGGAGGAAGGGCAUUAACCUAAUACGUUGGUGUCUUGACGUUACCGACAGAAUAAGCACCGGCUAACUCUGUGCCAGCAGCCGCGGUAAUACAGAGGGUGCAAGCGUUAAUCGGAAUUACUGGGCGUAAAGCGCGCGUAGGUGGUUUGUUAAGUUGGAUGUGAAAUCCCCGGGCUCAACCUGGGAACUGCAUUCAAAACUGACAAGCUAGAGUAUGGUAGAGGGUGGUGGAAUUUCCGGUGUAGCGGUGAAAUGCGUAGAUAUCGGAAGGAACAUCAGUGGCGAAAGCGACUUCCUGGACAAUACUGACGCUCAUGUGCGAAAGCGUGGGGAGC
rnacentral:rRNA from 1 species